GAUGAAGAACGUAGCGAUAUGCGAUACGUAAUGUGAAUUGCAGAAUUCAGUGAAUCAUCGAGUCUUUGAACGCACAUUGCGCCCCCUGGUAUUCCGGGGGGCAUGCCUGUCCGAGCGUCAUUGCUGCCCUCAAGCACGGCUUGUGUGUUGGGCCUCCGUCCUCCUCCCGGGGGACGGGCCCGAAAGGCAGCGGCGGCACCGCGUCCGGUCCUCGAGCGUAUGGGGCUUCGUCACCCGCUCUUGUAGGCCCGGCCGGCGCUUGCCGACACAUCAAUCUUUUUUCCAGGUUGACCUCGGAUCAGGUAGGGAUAUCCGCUGAACUUAAGCAUAUCGAUAAGCGGAGGA
rnacentral:misc_RNA from 1 species